rnacentral:tRNA from 1 species
GCCCGUGUGGCUCAGUAGAGUGUCGGCCUGUGGACCGAAGGGUCCCCAGUUCAAUUCCGGUCAAGGGCA